UUGAGAGGCUAAAGCAGGAU
rnacentral:piRNA from 1 species